rnacentral:rRNA from 1 species
AUUGAACGCUGGCGGCAGGCCUAACACAUGCAAGUCGCGCGAGCGGCGGACGGGUGAGUAAUGUAUGGGGACUGCCCGAUAGAGGGGGAUCACUACUGGAAACGGUGGCUAAUACCGCAUACUAUAGGAUACCCUAUAGGGGCUUAGCUAGUAGGGGGGGUAAGGGCUCACCUAGGCGAAGCUCUCUAGCUGGUCUGAGAGGAUGAUCAGCCACACUGGGACUGAGACACGGCCCCGACUCCUACGGAGGCAGCAGUGGGUAAUAUUGCACAAUGGGCGCCAGCCUGAUGCAGCCAUGCCGCGUGUAUGAAGAAGGCCUUAGGGUUGUAAAGUACUUUCAGCGGGGAGUCGUUACCCGCAGAAGAAGCACCGGCUAACUCCGUGCCAGCAGCCGCGGUAAUAC